rnacentral:rRNA from 1 species
UACGUAGGGGGCAAGCGUUGUCCGGAAUUAUUGGGCGUAAAGCGCGCGCAGGCGGUUUUUUAAGUCUGAUGUGAAAGCCCGCGGCUCAACCGUGGAGGGUCAUUGGAAACUGGGGGACUUGAGUGCAGAAGAGGAGAGUGGAAUUCCGCGUGUAGCGGUGAAAUGCGUAGAGAUGUGGAGGAACACCAGUGGCGAAGGCGACUUUCUGGUCUGUAACUGACGCUGAGGCGCGAAAGCGUGGGGAGCAAACAGG